rnacentral:sRNA from 1 species
UUUUAGCCCAGAUGGAAGUGAAAACCCCGGACUUAUAUUGGUUAGUUUUUUUAGGAUAAAUGAGCGACUUUAGAAGCUCCUUUUAUACUUUUAAAAAACAACAAAGAUAAGGAGGAGUUGUAAUGUACAGCUGGAAUAGCU